rnacentral:lncRNA from 1 species
AAAGAACUGGGGUGUUUGACCUAAUUUUUAUUUAUUUAUUAUGCGUUCACUGAUUACAGGGAUAUUUGCUAAGCACCUACUAUGUCUAAGUAAUGGGAGGCAAGGAAGAAUCAGAAAUGAAUCCUAUCAUCCUGGAGGAGAGGUUGCUAAUGGGCAGUGGGAGAGUGAGGAGAAACACUAUCCCUCUCUCUGGGGCUGACCUCACUUUGCACCAGUGUUUUGAUGUCCCAAGGGGAGCUUGAGAAACAGCACCUGGAAGUUUCAAAGGGCGAUGUUGCCCUUCAAGUUCGCAUUGAAUGAAGAGGAACUCUGACUCCGCCCCGACGUCUUCUUGAUGCCUCAGGACAUGGCAGCCCUCAAAGCCUGUAGUUCUUCCUUCUGGGUAUCAUUAGGUACUAGAGGGGACAAUUUGAUCUUUUUUAUUUUGCCUCCCUCACCCUGGCAACCCCUCCUUGCUCACAUUCAGAAUUUUAGAACAAAGUGAAUAAAGC